GAAAGCCGCAUAAUGAAAAAUGCAUCCUUCUCCAGGUCAGCUCACUGCUAACAUAAAAUGUGAUUAUUAGAAAACGGACUCCUGUACAUCAAGAGCACAAGGUAGCCACUAAUCCUGGAUGGAAAGCCAAUCCCCCAAAAGCACCAAGUAGGCACCAACACUUGAUGGGAUGCUGGUCUGUCUCAUGCAUGAGGUGAUCACCAAUCAUGGAUGGGAUGGCCGUCCAACAACAAGCAAAGAACAUGAUGAGAACAUGAAGACUGCAGAAGAAAAGACACACCGCCGCCAUGACUCUGCCUCCUAUAGUUUCCCGCACUGCGUUCCUCUGUCCUCCACCGAUGACGUCAUCGAUCCCAUCAUCCACCACGGCUCCUUCCCAGCAUUCCUCUACUUCCGGCCCCUCCUCCUUAAAUACUCCUCCGACGCCAUCUUACUUGGUCAACUGUUUGAAUGUGUUUAUCAACCU